rnacentral:rRNA from 1 species
UACGUAGGGUGCAAGCGUGUCCGGAAUUAUUGGGCGUAAAGAGCUCGUAGGCGGUCUGUCGCGUCUGCUGUGAAAAUCAGGGCUCAACCCCUGGACCUGCAGUGGGUACGGGCAGACUAGAGUGCGGUAGGGGAGAUCGGAAUUCCUGGUGUAGCGGUGAAAUGCGCAGAUAUCAGGAGGAACACCGGUGGCGAAGGCGGAUCUCUGGGCCGUAACUGACGCUGAGGAGCGAAAGCAUGGGGAGCGAACAGG